rnacentral:tRNA from 1 species
GGGCCGAUAGCUCAGCGGUGAGAGCAGCGGGCUCAUAACCCGUCAGACCUGGGUUCGAAUCCCAGUCGGCCCA